GGGGAAGGGGCGGGCGGGAGGUGGCAGGAACCUGGAGGUGUGAGCGAGCUUCCCAGGGGGUGGCCGGAGCGUGGGAGCGCAGAGGGCCAGGAGGCGACAGAGUCCCAGGGAAAAGAUCCCAGAGACCGAGACGCGGACUGAGAGAGACACGCAGAGGCCGGAGAUGCAGAAGCCACUGAAGACCCCGACAGACCAGCAGCAGACUUUGCUAAGACACCUGGAAAGAAUAUGAAAGAUACAGAGACAGACGCCGAAAGGAACGCGGAGACGUACAUCAGGAGAACCACCUUGGGGAGGACAGACGAAGAAAAAGGAGAAAAGAGAAACUGUGCAUUGGCCGGGAAUCGAACCCGGGCCUCCCGCGUGGCAGGCGAGAAUUCUACCACUGAACCACCAAUGCAGGCGGUGUGGUGUUUUCAUCAGAUCCUAUCUCAGCUCACAUGGAGUUGAGCCGACCUUGGCCCGGAAAACGGUGUAGUCAGGGAUUCAGCAAAGACUCUCGAUAGUUGACGUGGGUGGAGCCCAGGCCAUCCUUCUUCCCGCCUGGAUCCGGUCACUCGGCCAUAAAGUCACCCCAUAUGGCCAGGGGCGGCCCCACACCCGGGUGCGAACUGCCCGGGCCCCCGAGCCUCGCGUGCAGGUGAGAAAAACUCAGCCCGAGCCCAGGUUCCCAAGGAGGGGGGCAGCGGGGGACUUCUGGGGCCACACAUCUGCGCUUCCAUUUGGCUCAGGUAGGGGGAGGUGUGAUGUGCUGGGCUCCCUGGUUCCAAAUGGGAGCGCCCUCCCCAAGGUCUGGGUCCAUCCGGCUGGGAUUUUGGCAAGGCAGGCUCCGUGAAAAAACAAGCUGUGGUCGGGCACUGAACCCCAUCCAUCCCUGACUCUGAAGCUAUCUACAACCCUGUCUUACUGUGUCCUUGUCCCUGGAAUUCUUGUUGUCCCAUUUAAUCAUCGGUUUUAUCUUCUCAAGCACUUUGUCCUGAAGUUUCCAAGAUGUGCACGCAUCAUUUUGCUGAGGGUCAUGCUCUUAGUAUGAGGUGGGUGUUGAUUCCUUUUUUUGGGUUUCCUUUCUUGUCUUUUUAAGAAAACUGUCUGCUCCUUGCUCCCCUGUAAUCACGUGGGGUCUCCAGGAGCAAGCAACCAGAGCACACUUGUGUCAGGUGUCCUGGCAGCCAUACGCCUGAAUCUCCUGUAAUUACUUUUGAAGCAAAUAUUUCUAUCUGGAAAGAUCUCUCCGCCUCCGAACUGUGCUUGAAAUCCCUGGAGGCUCUCCCGCAGCCACCUCCAGCCCAGUCCAGCCAUUUCUCAGGAUGACCCUUUCUCUGAGGACCUAUUCACUGUGCUUUUAAAAUAGCUGCUUGAUAACACAUUGCCUUUUCCACUAUCCUGCAGGGAUAAGCUGGGCCUCAGGUCCAUAUCCCAGUAUGAACCGUGCAGCCAAGACCAGGACCCA
rnacentral:tRNA from 1 species